CCUACGGGAGGCAGCAGUGAGGAAUAUUGGUCAAUGGGCGAGAGCCUGAACCAGCCAAGUCGCGUGAGGGAGUACUGCCCUAUGGGUUGUAAACCUCUUUUGUCGGGGAGCAAAAGCCGGACGUGUCCGGCUGUGAGAGUACCCGAAGAAAAAGCAUCGGCUAACUCCGUGCCAGCAGCCGCGGUAAUACGGAGGAUGCGAGCGUUAUCCGGAUUUAUUGGGUUUAAGGGGUGCGCAGGCGGAUUUUUAAGUCAGCGGGAAAAUCGUGGGGUUAAACCCCGUCCAGCCGUUGAAACUGGGGAUCUAGAGUGUGCGAGAGGUAUGCGGAAUGCGUGGUGUAGCGGUGAAAUGCAUAGAUAUCACGCAGAACCCCGAUUGCGAAGGCAGCAUACCGGUGCACAACUGACGCUCAGGCACGAAAGCGUGGGUAUCGAACAGGAUUAGAUACCCCAGUAGUC
rnacentral:rRNA from 1 species